rnacentral:rRNA from 1 species
GGGAGACACACGGCGGGUGCUAACGUCCGUCGUGAAGAGGGAAACAACCCAGACCGCCAGCUAAGGUCCCAAAGUCAUGGUUAAGUGGGAAACGAUGUGGGAAGGCACAGACAGCCAGGAUGUUGGCAAAAACCGUAGUCAAUAUUUCAAAAGUGGACGGCAUGCCAUGGUUUAACCGGAUGGGUGAAGGGGUAGUCCAGGCCGGGAAAGAGUUUAACCUCAACGCCUCCCAGGUAGGGCCGUCCAGCACCGAUGCGCCGCAGCAGGUGAAAAUUAUUGAGGACCUGAUUGCACGUAA